UAACGCGUGGGUAACCUGCCUCAUACAGGGGAAUAGCAGCUGGAAACGGCUGAUAAAACCGCAUAAGCGCACAGUGCCGCAUGGCACAGUGUGAAAAACUCCGGUGGUAUGAGAUGGACCCGCGUCUGAUUAGCUGGUUGGUGGGGUAACGGCCCACCAAGGCGACGAUCAGUAGCCGGCCUGAGAGGGUGAUCGGCCACAUUGGGACUGAGACACGGCCCAA
rnacentral:rRNA from 1 species